rnacentral:rRNA from 1 species
ACGCUCGACACCUACGGGAGGCAGCAGUCGGGAAUAUUGCGCAAUGGAGGAAACUCUGACGCAGUGACGCCGCGUAUGGGAAGAAGGUUUUCGGAUUGUAAACCAUUUUAGACAAGGAAGAAACAAGACAGUACUUGUAGAAUAAGCUCCGGCUAACUACGUGCAAGCAGCCGCGGUAAUCUGAGCGGGCUGCAAGGC